rnacentral:rRNA from 1 species
AAAUAGUAAAUAUGAGAUACAAAGAAGCUUUUUGAGACUUUAUGAAUAUAAAGUAAGAAAAGAUGAUGUAGUAGAUUGUAUUUAAUGUUUCAAUCCAACUAUAACACAACUACUUCAUAAAAAUCACUUGCUAUACUAGAGUAUAGCUUUAUAAUUUUUAUUUUGUAUUUGUAUCAUAUUUGAAUUGCUAAAUGUUAAAAAUAUCUUUUUUUAAGUGGCUUAGCUUGAAGAUGGGACUGUAUGGUAUCAGUUAGUUGGUGGGGUAAUGGCCUACCAAGACAAUGACGCCUAACUGGUUUGAGAGGAUGAUCAGUCACACUGGAACUGAGACACGGUCCAGACUCCUACGGGAGGCAGCAGUGGGGAAUAUUGCACAAUGGAGGAAACUCUGAUGCAGCAACGCCGCGUGGAGGAUGACACUUUUCGGAGCGUAAACUCCUUUUAUAUGAGAAGAUAAUGACGGUAUCAUAUGAAUAAGCACCGGCUAACUUCGUGCCAGCAGCCGCGGUAAUACGAGGGGUGCAAGCGUUACUCGGAAUCACUGGGCGUAAAGAGCAUGUAGGCGGGUAAUUAAGUUGGAAGUGAAAUCCUAUGGCUCAACCAUAGAACUGCUUCCAAAACUGAUUAUCUAGAGUAUGGGAGAGGUAGAUGGAAUUUCUGGUGUAGGGGUAAAAUCCGUAGAGAUCAGAAGGAAUACCGAUUGCGAAGGCGAUCUACUGGAACAUUACUGACGCUCAGAUGCGAAAGCGUGGGGAGCAAACAGGAUUAGAUACCCUGGUAGUCCACGCCCUAAACG